UGACUGCGUACCUUUUGUAUAAUGGGUCAGCGACUUAUAUUCUGUAGCAAGGUUAACCGAAUAGGGGAGCCGAAGGGAAACCGAGUCUUAACUGGGCGUUAAGUUGCAGGGUAUAGACCCGAAACCCGGUGAUCUAGCCAUGGGCAGGUUGAAGGUUGGGUAACACUAACUGGAGGACCGAACCGACUAAUGUUGAAAAAUUAGCGGAUGACUUGUGGCUGGGGGUGAAAGGCCAAUCAAACCGGGAGAUAGCUGGUUCUCCCCGAAAGCUAUUUAGGUAGCGCCUCGUGAACUCAUCUCCGGGGGUAGAGCACUGUUUCGGCAAGGGGGUCAUCCCGACUUACCAACCCGAUGCAAACUGCGAAUACCGGAGAAUGUUAUCACGGGAGACACACGGCGGGUGCUAACGUCCGUCGUGAAGAGGGAAACAACCCAGACCGCCAGCUAAGGUCCCAAAGUCAUGGUUAAGUGGGAAACGAUGUGGGAAGGCCCAGACAGCCAGGAUGUUGGCUUAGAAGCAGCCAUCAUUUAAAGAAAGCGUAAUAGCUCACUGGUCGAGUCGGCCUGCGCGGAAGAUGUAACGGGGCUAAACCAUGCACCGAAGCUGCGGCAGCGACGCUGAUGCGUUGUUGGGUAGGGGAGCGUUCUGUAAGCCUGUGAAGGUGUGCUGUGAGGCAUGCUGGAGGUAUCAGAAGUGCGAAUGCUGACAUAAGUAACGAUAAAGCGGGUGAAAAGCCCGCUCGCCGGAAGACCAAGGGUUCCUGUCCAACGUUAAUCGGGGCAGGGUGAGUCGACCCCUAAGGCGAGGCCGAAAGGCGUAGUCGAUGGGAAACAGGUUAAUAUUCCUGUACUUGGUGUUACUGCGAAGGGGGGACGGAGAAGGCUAUGUUGGCCGGGCGACGGUUGUCCCGGUUUAAGCGUGUAGGCUGGUUUUCCAGGCAAAUCCGGAAAAUCAAGGCUGAGGCGUGAUGACGAGGCACUACGGUGCUGAAGCAACAAAUGCCCUGCUUCCAGGAAAAGCCUCUAAGCAUCAGGUAACAUCAAAUCGUACCCCAAACCGACACAGGUGGUCAGGUAGAGAAUACCAAGGCGCUUGAGAGAACUCGGGUGAAGGAACUAGGCAAAAUGGUGCCGUAACUUCGGGAGAAGGCACGCUGAUAUGUAGGUGAAGUCCCUCGCGGAUGGAGCUGAAAUCAGUCGAAGAUACCAGCUGGCUGCAACUGUUUAUUAAAAACACAGCACUGUGCAAACACGAAAGUGGACGUAUACGGUGUGACGCCUGCCCGGUGCCGGAAGGUUAAUUGAUGGGGUCAGCGCAAGCGAAGCUCUUGAUCGAAGCCCCGGUAAACGGCGGCCGUAACUAUAACGGUCCUAAGGUAGCGAAAUUCCUUGUCGGGUAAGUUCCGACCUGCACGAAUGGCGUAAUGAUGGCCAGGCUGUCUCCACCCGAGACUCAGUGAAAUUGAACUCGCUGUGAAGAUGCAGUGUACCCGCGGCAAGACGGAAAGACCCCGUGAACCUUUACUAUAGCUUGACACUGAACAUUGAGCCUUGAUGUGUAGGAUAGGUGGGAGGCUUAGAAGUGUGGACGCCAGUCUGCAUGGAGCCGACCUUGAAAUACCACCCUUUAAUGUUUGAUGUUCUAACGUUGACCCGUAAUCCGGGUUGCGGACAGUGUCUGGUGGGUAGUUUGACUGGGGCGGUCUCCUCCUAAAGAGUAACGGAGGAGCACGAAGGUUGGCUAAUCCUGGUCGGACAUCAGGAGGUUAGUGCAAUGGCAUAAGCCAGCUUGACUGCGAGCGUGACGGCGCGAGCAGGUGCGAAAGCAGGUCAUAGUGAUCCGGUGGUUCUGAAUGGAAGGGCCAUCGCUCAACGGAUAAAAGGUACUCCGGGGAUAACAGGCUGAUACCGCCCAAGAGUUCAUAUCGACGGCGGUGUUUGGCACCUCGAUGUCGGCUCAUCACAUCCUGGGGCUGAAGUAGGUCCCAAGGGUAUGGCUGUUCGCCAUUUAAAGUGGUACGCGAGCUGGGUUUAGAACGUCGUGAGACAGUUCGGUCCCUAUCUGCCGUGGGCGCUGGAGAACUGAGGGGGGCUGCUCCUAGUACGAGAGGACCGGAGUGGACGCAUCACUGGUGUUCGGGUUGUCAUGCCAAUGGCACUGCCCGGUAGCUAAAUGCGGAAGAGAUAAGUGCUGAAAGCAUCUAAGCACGAAACUUGCCCCGAGAUGAGUUCU
rnacentral:rRNA from 1 species